rnacentral:rRNA from 1 species
GACGAACCGUGCGAACGUUGUUCGGAAUUACUGGGCGUAAAGAGCGCGCAGGCGGUCGUGCAAGUCGCGUGUGAAAGCCCCCGGCUCAACUGGGGAGGGUCACGCGAUACUGAUCGACUCGAAGGCAGGAGAGGGUAGUGGAAUUCCUGGUGUAGCGGUGAAAUGCGUAGAUAUCAGGAGGAAUACCGGUGGCGAAGGCGGCCUUCUGGACGGUGACUGACGCUGAGACGCGAAAGCGUGGGGAGCAAACAGG